GAUGAACGCUAGCGGCAUGCUUAACACAUGCAAGUCGAGCGGAAAGGCCCUGCUUUUGUGGCGUGCUCGAGUGGCGAACGGGCGCGUGACACGUGAGUACCCUUCCCUCGACUUUGGGAUAACUUAAUGAAACUGGGGCUAAUACCGUAUAGGAGCAUCUGCUCCAUGGUGGGGGUCGGAAAGUUUCGGCGGUUGGGGAUGGACUUGCGGGUUAUCCGCCUGUUGGUGGGGUUGUGGCUUACAAAGGCUUCGACGGGUAGCCGGCCUGAGAGGGGGACCGGCCACAUGGGGAAUGAGAUACGGGCGGGAGUCCUGCGGGAGACAGCAGUGGGGAAUAGUGCACGAUGGGCGGAAGCCUGAUGCAGCAAGGCCGCGUGCUGGGUGACAACCUUCGGGUUUUAAGGAGCUUUCGCGUGUGAGGAAGCGUUAGUGAAGGUAAUGGAUAAAGAAGCACCGGCUAACUACGUG
rnacentral:rRNA from 1 species